CCACUAUAAGGGUCCUAGACAGUGUGAUAUACCGAACUUGAUUUAAAUUCAGUUAGCCUAGCUCUCCAACUGUAAACGGUCAACUAUCCCCCAUACCCCAUUAAAGUCUCAGCGAGCCCUUUAAAAGCUCCCACCCCAUUCUUGAAAGUAUCACCAACAAAACCAAAAUCAAAAUCAAAAUCAAAAUCGAUUACUUUUAUUGCAUUGCAAAUUGCAAUUCCCAAAUCCCAAGCAAGCAUGAAGGUCACUGUUAUCACUCGGAGCGGUAGAGAAAUCAUCAAAGGCGGCCUCGACCUCAAUCACUCUGCUACGGUGAGUGAUCUGCAGGAGGCUAUACAUCGACGAUGCAAAAAAUACUAUCCUUCAAGACAGCGUAUUACUCUACCCGUCCAACCUGGAUCCAAAGAAAGACCUGUUGUUCUGAAUCCCAAAAAAAAAUUGAAGAUUACUACGAUGGAAAAUCAGAUCACUUGACUGUAAUAUUCAAAGACCUGGGUCCACAGGUCUCCUACCGUACACUCUUCUUCUGGGAGUAUUUGGGGCCUUUGAUAAUCUAUCCAAUAUUCUACUACUUUCCAGUAUAUCAGUACUUUGGUUAUGGAGGGGAGCGUAUCAUCCACCCGGUUCAAACAUAUGCCUUGUACUACUGGUGCUUCCAUUACUUCAAACGUAUUAUGGAAACUUUUUUUGUGCAUAGGUUUAGCCAUGCAACCUCACCUCUAUCCAAUGUGUUUUGGAACUGUGCAUAUUAUUGGACUUUUGGCUCACUCAUUGCAUACUAUGUGAACCACCCAUUAUACACCCCAGUGAGCGACCUACAGAUGAAGAUUGGGUUUGGAUUUGGGUUGAUAUGUCAAAUUGCAAACUUCUAUUGCCAUCUUAUUCUGAAAAGCCUUCGCAGCCCUGAUGGAAGUGGGGGAUAUCAAAUCCCACAUGGGUUUUUGUUCAAUAUUUUGACCUGUGCAAAUUACACCACUGAGAUUUAUCAGUGGCUGGGAUUUAAUAUUGCAACACAAACUGUUGCUGGUUAUGUAUUCCUUGUGGUGGCUGCUUUUAUAAUGACUAAUUGGGCCCUCGCAAAGCACCAUCGCUUGAAGAAGCUUUUUGAUGGGAAGGAAGGAAGGCCAAAAUAUCCACGGCGAUGGGUGAUUCUGCCUCCAUUUCUGUAAAAAUUAAAGAAUACUUACCAUAAUUGGACCAGCAGGUAAUGGUGUUAUUUUAAGAAUGUUCAAGGACACAAAAUCUUUUUUGGGUAAUCAUUCCAUCCAAAGUCAUUUCCUUAGUCUGAUUUAUUUAUUAGACAAUUGAAAAAUGUAAGUUGAGCCAUAGGAAUGAUUAACUAUGGCUGGACCUCUUUUUUAUAAAAAUUGUGAUGAGGUCUUAAUGUUCAAUUUUGUUGUUUUGGAGGAUUCUUUCUGUAUUGUUGAGAAUGUACUGGUGCUACUUAUAUUUGACCAUCCAUAUGCACAUUCUCACUUCUAA